rnacentral:snRNA from 12 species
AUACUUACCUGGCAGGAGAGAUACCAUGACCAUGAAAAUGGUUUUUCUGGGGCAAGACUUAUCCAUUAUACUCCAGAUAUGCUGACUCCUACUAUACUUGUUUCUCUUCACAUCAGUUUUUUGAGGCAGAACUGUGAGAACUAUGAUUCAGG